rnacentral:lncRNA from 1 species
CUCUCUGAUCGUUCGAGCCAAUCACCGCGGGUGGUGCACGCCGAGCUGCACCGUCUGUGGCGCACAAAGAGUUUCUCUUGCAACUUAAUAUCUCAUGCUACACCAUCCCAAGCAGGCUAAAGACCCAACCCAAAGGAAUAUGGCCCUGGCUUAGUUUUGGGUAUUGAAGCCUAAAAAGGCCCAAAAUCUAAAAACAAAGG